rnacentral:rRNA from 1 species
CCUACGGGAGGCAGCAGUGGGGAAUAUUGCACAAUGGGCGCAAGCCUGAUGCAGCCAUGCCGCGUGUGUGAAGAAGGCCUUCGGGUUGUACAGCACUUUCAGCGGGGAGGAAGGCGGUGAGGUUAAUAACCUCAUCGAUUGACGUUACCCGCAGAAGAAGCACCGGCUAACUCCGUGCCAGCAGCCGCGGUAAUACGGAGGGUGCAAGCGUUAAUCGGAAUUACUGGGCGUAAAGCGCACGCAGGCGGUCUGUCAAGUCGGAUGUGAAAUCCCCGGGCUCAACCUGGGAACUGCAUUCGAAACUGGCAGGCUAGAGUCUUGUAGAGGGGGGUAGAAUUCCAGGUGUAGCGGUGAAAUGCGUAGAGAUCUGGAGGAAUACCGGUGGCGAAGGCGGCCCCCUGGACAAAGACUGACGCUCAGGUGCGAAAGCGUGGGGAGCAAACAGGAUUAGAUACCCGAGUAGUC